AUUGAACGCUGGCGGCAUGCCUUACACAUGCAAGUCGAACGGUAACAGGUCUACGGAUGCUGACGAGUGGCGAACGGGUGAGUAAUACAUCGGAACGUGCCCGAUCGUGGGGGAUAACGGAGCGAAAGCUUUGCUAAUACCGCAUACGAUCUACGGAUGAAAGCAGGGGACCGCAAGGCCUUGCGCGGACGGAGCGGCCGAUGGCAGAUUAGGUAGUUGGUGGGAUAAAAGCUUACCAAGCCGACGAUCUGUAGCUGGUCUGAGAGGACGACCAGCCACACUGGGACUGAGACACGGCCCAGACUCCUACGGGAGGCAGCAGUGGGGAAUUUUGGACAAUGGGCGAAAGCCUGAUCCAGCCAUGCCGCGUGCAGGAUGAAGGCCUUCGGGUUGUAAACUGCUUUUGUACGGAACGAAAAGACUCUUUCUAAUAAAGAGGGUCCAUGACGGUACCGUAAGAAUAAGCACCGGCUAACUACGUG
rnacentral:rRNA from 1 species